AACGAACGCUGGCGGCAUGCCUAACACAUGCAAGUCGAACGAGACCUUCGGGUCUAGUGGCGCACGGGUGCGUAACGCGUGGGAACCUGCCCUUAGGUUCGGAAUAACUCCCCGAAAGGGGUGCUAAUACCGGAUAAUGUCUUCGGACCAAAGAUUUAUCGCCUUUGGAUGGGCCCGCGUUGGAUUAGCUAGUUGGUAGGGUAAAAGCCUACCAAGGCGACGAUCCAUAGCUGGUCUGAGAGGAUGAUCAGCCACACUGGGACUGAGACACGGCCCAGACUCCUACGGGAGGCAGCAGUGGGGAAUAGUAGAGAAUGAGGGAAGGCCUAAUCCAGCAGUGCCGCGUAAGUGAUGAAGGCCUUAGGGAAGUAAAGCUCUUUUACCCGGGAUGAUAAUGACAGUACCGGGAGAAUAAGCUCCGGCUAACUCCGUG
rnacentral:rRNA from 1 species